rnacentral:rRNA from 1 species
UACGAAGGGGGCUAGCGUUGUUCGGAAUCACUGGGCGUAAAGCGCACGCAGGCGGAUCGUUAAGUCAGGGGUGAAAUCCCGAGGCUCAACCUCGGAACUGCCUUUGAUACUGGCGAUCUUUGAGUCCGGGAGAGGUGAGUGGAACUCCGAGUGUAGAGGUGAAAUUCGUAGAUAUUCGGAAGAACACCAGUGGCGAAGGCGGCUCACUGGCCCGGUACUGACGCUGAGGCACGAAAGCGUGGGGAGCAAACAGG